CCUACGGGAGGCAGCAGUGGGGAAUAUUGCACAAUGGGGGAAACCCUGAUGCAGCGACGCCGCGUGGGUGAAGGAGCGUUUCGGCGAGUAAAGCCCUAUCGGCAGGGAAGAAGGAGGACGGUACCUGACUAAGAAGCCCCGGCUAACUACGUGCCAGCAGCCGCGGUAAUACGUAGGGGGCAAGCGUUAUCCGGAUUUACUGGGUGGAAAGGGGGCGCAGACGGCAGCGCAAGCCAGGAGUGAAAGCCCGGGGCCCAACCCCGGGACGGCUCUUGGAACUGCGCGGCUGGAGUGCAGGAGGGGCAGGCGGAAUUCCUGGUGUAGCGGUGAAAUGCGUAGAUAUCAGGAGGAACACCGGUGGCGAAGGCGGCCUGCUGGACUGCGACUGACGUUGAGGCCCGAAAGCGUGGGGAGCAAACAGGAUUAGAUACCCUGGUAGUC
rnacentral:rRNA from 1 species